AUAAUACAAACGUAUACAAGUAUACACAUUUGGAGCAGCCUCUUAAAAGAACGAUAAUAACAAUACAUACACAUUUAUCCACCUAUAUAAAUACACACAUAUAUCUAUCUGUAUACUAUAUCUAUCUAUAUAAAUGCACACAUUUGCAGCAGUCUCUUAAAAGAACAAUAAUCAUCAUCAUCAUCAUACGCACACACGCACACACAUAUAUACACACACACACACAUACUUGGGGCACUUAAAACACACACACACACACACAUAUAGAUACAUGCAUACAUAUGCAUAUAUACACACAUUUGGGGCAGUCUUUUAAAAGAACAACACUAAUACACACACAAACACUUGGGGCUCUUAAAAACAACAAUACACACACAUAUAUAUACACACACUCACAUACAUAUGGAUAUAUGUACACCCACACAUUUGGGGCAGUCUUUUAAAAGAGCAACAAUAAUAACAACAAUACAUACACACACAUAUAGAUACACACACAUACAUACACACAUUUGGGGCAGUCUUUUAAAAGAACAACAAUAAUAACAACAAUACAUACACACACACACACACACACUUGGGGCACUUUUAAAAACAACAAUACACAAAUACGUAUAUAUAGAUACAUACAUAUGCAUAAUACACACACAUUUGGGGCACUCUUUUAAAAUAAAAUCAGCAAUAAUAAUAACAAUACACACACAUAUACACACACACAAUUCAGGCACUUGUAAAAACAACAAUACACACACAUACAUAUGGAUAUAUGUACACACACAUUUGGGGCAGUCUUAAAAAGCAACAAUAAUAACAAUACACACACAUAUAUAGAUAUAUAUAUUUAUAUAUACACACACAUACAUAUACACUCAUUAUGUAGAUGAGCUGAGUAAGAAUUUGCCCUUUUUCUGUAUCACACCAAACCACAUCUCAAGGUGGAUCUACACUGCCAUAUAAUCCAGAUUAACUGUAUUGAACUAAACUGCAUUAUGUGUAGAUCCAGCCUUAGUAAGGCGGCUGCACUUUCCAAUGUUCAGCAAUGGCAACAAAAAAUAAAUCAAAGGAAACGACGUCUGAAUUCAAUUUAGGACGAGCAGGGAAAAAAGCAUUUGUUACACAGAGAGAAAAUUAAUUGCAGUAUUUCUUCAUUAACUGUAUGCCGAUCGAUAGACAGUACAAUCCGGCAAUUUAAUGCCGUUUUUAUAUAUCGGAAGGCUACCGGGAGGUUUACUGUCUGUUCCACAAUUAGUGUGUAUGUGUGCCAUAAAUGAAAUCAAUUACAGCGUCCAGCUGAAAGGGAUGAAAAUGCUGUGUUAAGAUGGAUCAUCCUGCUGCUUUAUAACAAAAUUAGCAUUAUAUAUUACUAUAUUGAACUAUACCACUAUACUGUAAUAUUAUAUGUAACUAGCUGUGCCCAGCCACGCGUUGCUGUGGCGAAGUAUGGUGGUAUGGGAAAUAAAGUGUUGAGGAAUUGGUGGUAGUUAAGGUAAAGGGUCCCCUGGGCUGAGUGGGUUGCUAGGAGACCAAGUGAGCAGAGCUUAGCCUUCUAACUGGCAGCAAUUGGAUAAAAACAAUUAUUCCUCUCCCUUUAAUUAGGACUUUAUGUUUCUUUUCUUUUUGUUGUAUCAACCUAGAGGCAUGGAUGAGGGGUUGUGAUGUCAAUUUUCGAGGUUGUGGGGUGUUUACUUUUGUUGUUUUGUCCGCUGCCGUGAUGCCAUCACUCUUUUAUAUAUAUAGAUAUAUAACAUAUAAUAAUUAUUAUAUAGUAUUAUUAUUAGUAUUAUAUUGUGUAACAUAAUAUUAUUAUCAAUAUUAUAUGUAUAUACAAUAUAUUCUAUUAUUAAAACUGAUAUAAACAUUUUAUAUUAUAAAACUGAGGGCGGGGGCCAGAUAAAUGACCUUGGAGGGCCGCAUCCGGCCCCCAGGCCUUAGUUUGGGGACCCCUGCUCUAAAGCAUACAGUUCCUGCAUUGAAGUCUGAAGAAAACUAUUCUAAAAUGGAGUCUGAGCCCUGAACAAGCCCAGAUCUGAUCACAUGGUCGGCAGCCCCUCCCACAACAAAAGAGUUAAGGAAAACUGCAAACCAAUACACACACAUAAAAUAAGUAAGCAAUCCAAAUUAUAUGUUGCUGUUGUUUAUUUGUUCAGUCACGGUCCGAUAUUUUUAUGGCAGAACCAAUUAGGAAAUGACAUUCAUAACAAAUCCAGGAACAAAAGUCAUGAUACACAUGUCCUUUGAACAUUGCUCUCCGGAGCCAUAGUCCAAUGCUCAAACUGACUCUCUUCAGCGUUCCCAAUUCCAAUAUCGGCUUACGCGUUUGCAAACAGAGGCGGGCCUCGAAUUAACUUGGAGGGGAUCCCAGAUCUCCACGAUCUCCCAGAUCAUAUUGCCGGGCCAAUCCACAGCCUCGAAAGACAUCCCACCUCUCAGCUGCCCCCAGUUUGGUUGACAGAGCAACAUGAAGAGCAUAAAAGCCAUGGUAGAAUGAAAGCUUAUUGAGACCCAAUAGUAAGCUCAUGGCAAGAGUGCAACGGCACAGGAGAAGCCGGAACCACCGCAUCGUUGCUGUUGAUGGGCAUGUUCUCCAUGUCUCCUUUCAAGGUCUCCAAAUGGGCUUUGAUGUCACUUCCUUUUAUCUGCCCCGAAUCUCCCAUCUUUCAGCUUCAGCAGAUGGCCCUGGUCCUACUGAUAUAUCUUUUGCAUCAUGCACAAUUCUAAACCCUUUUUUAUUAUUAACUAGCUGUGCCCGGCCACGCGUUGCUGUGGCAAAGUGGUGGUGGUAUUGCUUAAAAAUUGUUGUGUAAUUUUUAUUUGACGUUAUUUGCAAUUUUUUAUUAAUUUUAUUGUAAGUUAUAUUUUUAUUUAUUAUAUUUUAUUAUUUUCUUGUAUUAUUUUUAGUUAUUUUCUGUUAUUAUAGUAUUUUAUUGUAUUAAUUUUUAGUGUUUUUUUAUUAUUUUUUAUUGGGUUGCUAGGAGACCAAGUUGGAGGAGCUUAGCCUUCUAACUGGCAGCAAUUGGAUAAAAGCAAUUAUUCCUCUCUCUCUGAUUAGGACUUUAUUUUUCUUUUCUUUUUGUUGUAUCAACCUAGAGGCGUGGAUGAUGGGUUGUGUUGUCAAAUUUCGAGGUUGGAGGCCCUGUAGUUUUGUUGUUUUGUGGGUCGCCGUGAUGCCAUCACUCUUUUAUAUAUAUAUAGAUUUUUAUUUAUUGAGGGGUAAGUGUAUGACAUACAAAAACAUUGUAAAAACAGGGUUUACAAGUAGGGAUAACAGUGAAGGAACAUGGGGCAGGUUUAGGGACAGUAAGGGGUUUGGAUGAUAAAGAAAUAAAAACAACGGAGGGGGUGAUUCGAAAAAUUUCCAUUCUUUCCCCUUUUGGUACAUUACUUUUCAUUUACAUUUCUUAUAAUGUCCCGGUUCAUUUUACACAUUUACACCUUUUGUUUAUAUACAUCUCCACUUUUUCCCAGUUUUAUCGGCUUUCCUCUAAUUUAUCGGCUUUCCUCUAAUCCAAAGAUCUGGGCUUUCCUUGGCCCAGAUCUUUGGAUCCAACUCAUGAUUUUAACAUUUUAUUUUGUAUAUUGGCCUUUUAUGACUGUUUUUAUCCAUGUUGAUGUUUUAUUGUUGGUUGAUUUGCUUGUUGUUUUGAUUUUGAUUUUGUGCUGUUGUGUCAGGGCCAGGCCCCAUGUAAGCCGCCCCGAGUCCCUCCGGGGAGAUGGGGCGGGGUAUAAGAAUAAAGUAGUUGUUAUUAUUAUUAUUAUUAUUAUUAUUAUUAUUAUUAUUAUUAUUAUUAUUAUUAUUUCUUUCAUAUACACAGUUAGUUUGUUAGUUUGUCCAUAUUCUUUAUUUCUUCUAAUUUCUCCAACCAAUGAUCAAUCUGCGGGAUCUGUUCUGUUUUCCAUUUUUUUGCUAGGGUUAUUCUAGCCACUGUUGAAAUAUAUGUAAAGAGUUUAUCAUCAUUUAUAUUCAAUUCUAGUGAUGUGUCCGAAAUUCCUAGCAAAUAUAAUUCAGGCUUCAUAGAAGAGUUUCUUUCCAGUAUUCUAAACCCAUGUCAUGCUUCCCCGGAUGUCUUUGUGGGUCUUCAAGUCCCCUGUCGAUUCAUGCCAUUCCUUCGGCAAGGAAUACACCGAGUGGUUUUGCCAGUUCUGUCCUCUGAAAUAUUGCCUGCGGCACCUGGGACUCGCUUGCGGUCUCCCAUCCAAGUACUAACCAGGGCUGACCCUGCUUAGCAUCCAGGAUCCAGCAGCAUCAGACACCAUUAAGGCAUUAAGGCCAUGCCUGCCCUUGCAUCCCUUUUUCACCAAAUCGCAAUUUCCUGUUUGGAAACACUAUCCAGUAGGCUUGCGCAAAAAAUAAAUAAACUGUAAAGCAAAGUAAGCCAUAUACUGUAUAUACUCGAGUAUAAGCCAACCCGAAUAUAAGCCAAGGCACCUAAUUUUACCACAAAAAAACUGGGAAAACAUUGACUCCAGUAUAAGCCGAGAUACCAAUAAAAUAACAUUAAUUGAGGCAUCGGUAGGUUCAAUGUUUUUGAAUAUUUACAUCAAGCUCAAAUUUAAGAUAAGACCGUCCAACUCUGAUCAAAUCAUUAUUCUCAUCUUCUUCAAUGUAAAUGUGCUUAUGUAUCCUUUUAAUAAUAAGAGAGUAAAAUAAUACAUGUAAUAAUAAUAAUAAUAAUAAUGAAAAUACAUCAUACAAUCCUAGACACUUGGGAAGUGUUCGACUUGUGAUUUUGUGAUAUGAAAUCCAGCAUGUCUAUUUUGUUUGCUGUGUCAUACAAUAAAAUAAUAAUAAUAAUAAAUACAGGAAAAUAAUAUAUGUAGUAAUAAAUAGAGUAAAAUAAUAAAUGCAAUAAUAAUAAUAAGAUCAGAGUGAAAUAAUAAAUGUAUUAAUAGUAAUAAUAAAAAUAGAGAAAAAUAAAUUUAUUUAUUUAUUAUUUACAUCACUUUUACCCCGCCUUUCUCUCCGAGGAGACUCAAAGCGGCUUACAUUAAAUAGGCAAAAAUGCAAUGCCUAAAAACAAUGUAAAAACAACAAUUCAUAUAAAAUGUAAUAGUAGCAACAAUAAUAGAGAAAAAUAAUAAAUGUAAUAAGACCAAUAAUAAUAGAGAAAAAUAAUGUACCCUAUAUUCUAGAGUAUAAGCUGCCCCUAACAUAAGCCAAACAGAACCCUCACCCGAGUAUAAGCCGAGGGGGGCUUUUUCAGUCUUAAAAAAAAGGCUGAAAAACUAGGCUUAUACUCGAGUAUAUACAGUAUAUAUAUUUGUAUCCCGCUGUCUCUGUCUUUAGGUGACUUGUGAAAUUUAAUAUGCAAAUGGACAAAAUAUUAUGCAAAUUGCAUGCAUUUCUUCCCAGGAAGCAGGUGCAAAGAUCUCUGGAUGUGGGUGGGUUUUGGACGCUUUCAUCUUUCUCUCCCGUCCCUUUUUCUUCCUUUCAUGGGAGCGAGACCACAAUCCCACUUUCAUCUCAGCCUCCUCGCCAAAACCAACGGGGCGGCAUUAGCCUGGCUCUGCUCUCCUUGCCUGGCCUCUGCGCAUCCCAUUUGCAUCUCAAUGGCCUUCUGUUUUCUGCCGCCUCCUCGAGCUUUCGGGAAUCCUGAAAAGGCCACGAUGGAGACUCAGGCCGGCGGGAAGAGCCUCGUCCAGAGGAGCAGCUGAGGCCUUGCUCGAAAGCAGAUUGCUCCACGGCUGCCCACCACUGGGCCGGGGCUGGAGACCAUUGUUUGCAAUUAGGAAUUUGGUCACGGCUCAAAAUGAAUCGAGCAAAAUGCAGCAGCAGCAGCAGCAGCCAUGCGUCGCAGGCAGGGCCAUUCUCGAGGCCGGAUCGGAUUUGCUGACACGAGAGAACCCGAGAAAAUCCUCACUUGGGAUUCUCUCUGACCUCCGUGGGAUUGAUUUCUGAGCCCCGGCAACAGGUUUCCUACUCAAAUGCUAAGGUUGCGUCAACAGCAGGAGCCAACCAACCCAAGGAAGCCCACGCAGGCCUUUGUCUGAUCCGUGCCGAUGAAGGAAAUAAAAGCUGACACCAAAGGCCCAUUAUCUUUUCAUCCUGCACGAGCUGGAAUCCAAAAGGACUUUGGUGAUGAAUCUGGCACAAGCAGCACUUGGUGUUUCAAAGGCAAGAAGAGGAGACCGGAAGGCCUUUCUCGCAUUCCUCGGCCGCACACUCUCCCGGUUUUUAUUUUCCCCAAAGACUGGCAUCCAUGUCGUUUUUAAGGCCGUGAUUUGCACAAGUAGCGGUGCAUCUGCACUGCAGAAUUGAUGCAGUUUGAUACCAUGUGAACUGCCAUGGCUCAAUGGGAUGGAAUCAUGGAAAUUGCAGUUUGGAGAGGCACCAGCACUCCUUCCUAGAGAAGGCAAAAGGUCUUUUAAAGCUACCGUUCCCACGAUUCCAUCACAUUGGACCAUGGCAGCGCAGGUGAUGCCAAGCUGCAUUUAUUCUACUGAAGACAGUAUUAAGCCAGUUCAAAUAAUGGUCUGGCUUUUGGUAAUUCUUUUUUCCAUGUCAUGAGGGACUUGAGAAACUGCAAGUCGCUUCUGGUGUGUGAUAACUGGCCGUCUGCAAGGACGUUGCCCAGGGAACAUUGCCUGGAUGUUUGAUGUUUUACCAUCCUUGCGGGAAGUUUCUCUAAUGUCCCUGCAUGGAGAGCUGGAGCUGACAGAGGGAGCUCACCCGCUCUACAUGGAUUUAAACCAACAAUCUGUCAGUCAGCAGUCCUGCUGGCACAAGGGUUAACCCAUUGUGGCACCAGGGGCUCCAAUGCUUUGGGUAAUACAACAUCACAUUUAGAUAUUUAGGGUUGAAUGAAAAGUAAUGCCUCCACCUUCGUAACUCCUCAAGAGAUGGCAGGUCCUGGCUUGUUCAGUAGACUCUCCUCUACAGUUAGUUCCAUUUGGCGGGAAGCCUUGGCAUUGAACGGUUGUGUUGUUAAAGUGUGAAGUAUGGAACCCUGCGCAGACGGGGAAGCCUUAGCAUUGAACGGUUGUGUUGUUAAAGUGCGAAGUAUGGAACCCUGUGCAGAUGGUCGGUCAAUAAGACAAGCAACGUGCAGUCAUUGAAUUCUUGACCGCAGAAGGUGUCACCCCAAAGGAGAUUCAUCAGAGAAUGCAAGCUGUUUAUGGGGAUUGUGUGGAUGUGAGUCCUGUGCGUCGUUGGGCGAGUAAGUUUGAAGAUGUCGAGGUGGGAACAUCUGACUUGCAUGACAAACAAAGAGUUGGACGUCCUGUGACAGCAACCACCGAGUUUUACAAGCAAAGGUUGACAGAUUGAUUCAAGAUGAUUGUUGUAUCACUGAGAGAGAAAUUUCAAGCAUAAUCAGCAUUUCACAAGAACGUGUGGGUCACAUUAUUGCUUUGCUUGGCUAUCGGAAGAUCUGUGCACGAUGGAUCCUGUGAGACGCCGGUUGCGGAAACAGAGUGUCGACUUCUUCCGUGACGGCUUAAGAAAACGUGUUCAUUGUUUGCAGAAAUGUAUCCAAUUGUCGGGUGAUGAUGUGGAAAAGUGAACAGUGGUAGUUAAAGAGCACAUUCCAAGGAUUAUUUCUGCAUUUGAUUUAUUAAAAUAUUCCCAUCCAAACCCAUGUAACGAAGGUGGAUGCAUUACUUUUCAUUCAACCCUCGUAAUAUUAUUAUUAUUAUUAUUAUUAUUAUUAUUAUUAUUAUUAUUAUUAUUAUUUUGAUGAAGUUCACAGAAUUGGCCAGCUGUGGCCGCUGGAUUUUGUGAGUCGUAGUCCAACGAGUAACUUUCCUGAGCUCUGAUUUGUGAAUGAACUCUCUGUCUGAUGCCACCCAUUGCCUUAGGAAGUGUUGUGUCUUUUCAGCACCAGGAGCUGUUCACAGACGCCCUCAAAUGAUCUCCCAUGAAAAUCCUCACCGUAAGGAUGAGUCAUGAGGUUUGGCCUAAACUGUAAGAGUAAAUCUAUGCGCAGGUGUCGAGGUGUGCUACUAAGGGUUGAGAUCCAUGUUGGGCGAGGGCGCAAGGCUGUCCUUUCCACUUUUUCUGACCCAAGGAAGCAACUUGACAUUAAAUCCAGUCGAGUCUGACCCUGGGGGUCCGUUUCCAAGCCGAAGAGCUGGCAUUGUCCUUAGACACCUCCACUGGCAUGACUGCAUGGAGCACCAUUACCUUCUUGCUGGAGCAGUACCUAUUGAUCUACUCACAUUUGCAUAAUAAAAAAAAAAAACUUUA